rnacentral:rRNA from 1 species
UACAGAGGUCUCAAGCGUUGUUCGGAUUCAUUGGGCGUAAAGGGUGCGUAGGUGGCGCGGUAAGUCGGGUGUGAAAUCUCGGAGCUUAACUCCGAAAUUGCAUUCGAUACUGCCGUGCUCGAGGACUGGAGAGGAGACUGGAAUUCAUGGUGUAGCAGUGGAAUGCGUAGAGAUCAUGAGGAAGACCAGUGGCGAAGGCGGGUCUCUGGACAGUUCCUGACACUGAGGCGCGAAAGCUAGGGGAGCAAACAGG